rnacentral:rRNA from 1 species
GAUGAACGCUGGCGGCGUGCCUAAUACAUGCAAGUCGAGCGAACAGAUAAGGAGCUUGCUCCUUUGACGUUAGCGGCGGACGGGUGAGUAACACGUGGAUAACCUACCUAUAAGACUGGGAUAACUUCGGGAAACCGGAGCUAAUACCGGAUAACAUAUUGAACCGCAUGGUUCAAUAGUGAAAGGCGGCUUUGCUGUCACUUAUAGAUGGAUCCGCGCCGUAUUAGCUAGUUGGUAAGGUAACGGCUUACCAAGGCAACGAUACGUAGCCGACCUGAGAGGGUGAUCGGCCACACUGGAACUGAGACACGAUCCAGACUCCUACGGGAGGCAGCAGUAGGGAAUCUUCCGCAAUGGGCGAAAGCCUGACGGAGCAACGCCGCGUGAGUGAUGAAGGUCUUCGGAUCGUAAAACUCUGUUAUCAGGGAAGAACAAAUGUGUAAGUAACUGUGCACAUCUUGACGGUACCUGAUCAGAAAGCCACGGCUAACUACGUG